rnacentral:tRNA from 2 species
AAGAAAGUGACAGAGCGGUGAUGUGGUUGGCUUGAAACUAACAUACGGGGGUUCGAUUCCUCCCUUUCUCG